AUGGAAGACGACUUCGAGAAGGGGACUGGUCCCAAGCGAUUCCGCUACAACGACUUUAUUUUAGAGGAAAAGGGCAUCCGAUCCAAGCCCCGGCUCCAUUGUAUUGCAAUGAAACCCAAACGAGUAGCGACAGUCAGCACAAAUUUAAGCUCUCUCCCGACUGUAUCUGAGAAGGUAAAGCCAGGUUUAUCGAGCAAGCCAUCUUCAUCUUCCCUUUUUCUGCAUUUGUCAUCGCCGCUCCUUUUUGCUCAGGCCACCAAUCUAACAAAGCCACCGAAUCUAGCUCGGUUGAAUAGGUAG
rnacentral:rRNA from 1 species